rnacentral:tRNA from 1 species
CCCCUGGUAGUCUAGUGGUUAGGCUUUGCCGCUCUCAGUGCCGCUGCCUGGGUUGGAUUCCCAGUCAUGUGA